CCCGGCCGUGUGUGCUCCGGGGCCAUGGCCGAGCCGUGCCCGGGCCUGGCCCUGCGCUUCCAGCGCCGCUUCCUGGCGGCGCGGCCGCUCCGCUCGCUGCCCUGGCCGGAACUCGAGCAAAGCCUGCGGACCGCGCCGGACUCCGCGCUGCUGGCGGAUAUUCUGCACAAGACAAUUCUUCACCCUCUGUGUGUGAAAUAUCCUCCUUCAGCCAAGUACAGGAGGUGCUUCCUGACUGAGCUCAUCAAAAAGCUGGAAUCCACAGCUGCUGAACCCCUGGAUGAACUCUAUGAGGCACUGGCAGAUGUUCUGAAAGAAGAAGAAGAAUCUACUCACUGUUACAAAAACUACUUACUGCCCUCGGGGGACUGUGUGAGCCUCUGUGAGAGCACAGCGCUGAUCUCCGGGGGCACCACGGGGCUCCUCACCUGGGAGGCUGCCCUGCACCUGGCCCAGUGGGCCCUGCAGAACCCCAGCCUCUUCAGGGGCAGGACAAUCCUGGAACUGGGAAGUGGGGUUGGCUUCACUGGAAUUGCCAUCUGCAAGAGCUGCCAGCCCAGGACAUUCAUAUUCAGUGACUGCCACCCCCUUGUUCUCAGCCAGCUGAGGGAGAACCUGCAGCUGAACGGCCUCAGCCUGGAGCCUGACAGGACCUGGAGCCCCCAGACAGAGUCCCAAGGACAGGAGGGAGAAGGACAGAGCUGCCAAACCCCAAAAGUGAUUGUGGCUGAGCUGAACUGGGGCUCAGUGACAGAGAAACAGCUGCUGCCUCUCAGAGCUGAUGUUGUGAUUGCAGCAGAUGUGGUGUAUGAUCCUGAGAUAAUUGUAGCCCUCAUUGAGAUGCUACAGAAACUCUCCACCUCCAGAGCAGACAGGAAAGCUCCUGAGGUGUUCAUUGCCUCCACAAUCCGAAAUCCAGCCACGUAUCAGCUGUUCCAGGCUGAGCUGGAUAAAGCUGGGAUCAGGUGGCAGGUGAUUCCAGCCCACAGCAGCUGUAAUUUUCUCUUUGAUGUGCAGCCAGAUGUAACUAUUCUACAGCUAUUUGUAUAACAGCAAAUAGAACUGGAAUUUAGAGACCAACAGGAGCUGUGUCAGCCUUGUAACAAGAUUAUCCUGAAUUGUGGAAAGGAGGUUCUGAGGAUACAGCUGGACACAUGGAGUCCUUCCUCUAAUUCCCAGCAUGGAUCCAAGCCUGCAGCUGCCCCUGGGAAGUGACUGAACCUCAAGCAACAGGAACCAAAAAGCCCCAAUCACACUUCACUUGGAUUCUGUAGAAGACAGCAGAAUUCAAGCAGGGAUUUUUCCCAACUCUGUUGUGAUUUUGGCUGCUGGGAAUCCAGGCAGGGCUGGCAGUGGAAAAGGAAUCUCUCUCCAUAGCAGUGUUCCAGGGAUCCUGCAAAAAGGACUGAGCUCCCUGCUCUGAAACCUCCCAUCAUCAUUCAUCCCUCUCCUGUUGGGCAGCACUGGUCCUGAAGCACAAACAUUAAAGUGAUGCUCAUUCUUCUCUUUUAGCUUCCUUUUCUCUACUAAAAACUACUUAAAAUGAAAUGAAAACACUUCAACCUCCUCCUUCUGUAGCAAUGGAGAGAAAACUGAUGAUACCUAACUUGAAACCUGAAGAAUCUUCUUAUUCUUCAAGCUUAAGGAGACCACGACUGCUGGGAUCAAGCAGAACCCCAGGCCAGGUUUUGGCUCCCUGUGCCCAAAAAGAACUCAAAGUUGUUAUUUCCAGAGUAAACACAAACUGGCAGCCCACACAGGAGCUCCUUUAUCUCCCCUCACACAAAAUUCAAGACAAAGGUUCUGUAUAGAGCUCGUUUUGGAUCUAAAAAGUUCUGUUCUAUGAAGAGGAAACCUCUCUAAAGCCUUUGGCAUUAGUGUUUAAUCAGAAAAGUGCCUAAUUUACCUCCAUGUGCACAAGAAUGGCCAAAUCUCUAGACAGGAUUUUGACUGAAAACAGGAAAAAAACCACUAAAAAACAGGCAAAUCAAUCUUUAGGAAUCAUUCUUCAAUCCAUAAGCUGGAAGUUUUGCCGAAUUCCUGCAGUAAAGCAACUUGACCCUAUAUUUACCUUUUCUCUUUUGACAAAAGCAGAUAUUCAAGAGUUGCUCAGAGUUUAAAACUGCUGGUUCAGAGCCCAGUCCUCACUCCCAGCCUGAAGCAGGAGCUCUGUGAGAAGCAGUAAACACAUUCCAAGCCAAGUUACCAAUGACUGACAUCUGUUUUAUCAUCAAAAAGUUGAUGAAAAAAAUCUUGUAAGCAUUAGGCUUGCAUGUGAAUACUGAGCUUAACAAAAAGCUGAAGGCUGUACCUGAGUAAGCACUCACAAAGCAAAGUGCCUUUUGACUAAGUUAUACAUACUUUGUUCAUGUAUUUUGGGUUUAUUUUUCCCUUUUCUGUUCAAGGAGAUAGGAAUUUUAGGUCCUUUCCCAAGGUAAAUGGGCACAUUCAUUUCAGAGUACAGGGACAACACUCACUGCAAGCUCUGCUUUGCUCCAAGUGCCCAGUAAAGCUGUCACACACCAGUGCUGUGCUUCCACACCCUUGCACACAUUGUCAAAAGGAAAAACAACUUGGAAACAAAAUGGUUCUGUCCCAAUAAAUCCACACAGGAAUAUUCAGUGCUCGGGCAAUUACUGGCCAUCAAACUGACCAGAUUAAAUGAAACAAUUCCAAUGAAAAGCAUCUGCCAUGUGCCAAAGAAACCAUACCCAAAUCACCUACUGAGGUGCUGACUGUACAGGAUGUGAAGCUGGUCAUAGUUUCUAUCUGUAUUCAAGGAUCUUCACCAAAAGAAGCAGCACAGGUUCUCACACAACAAACAGCUCAGCACCUCCAGCACCUCCUACUCACCCAGGAAGCUGAAACUGUACAGGAAGAGUGGGAGAGCCAAGAAAAGGAGUUAGAAACUCUAAGUGCAGACA